CGCGUAGGUGGUUUGUUAAGUCGGAUGUGAAAGCCCUGGGCUCAACCUGGGAAUUGCAUCCGAUACUGGCCGACUGGAGUGCGAGAGAGGGAGGUAGAAUUCCACGUGUAGCGGUGAAAUGCGUAGAUAUGUGGAGGAAUACCGGUGGCGAAGGCGGCCUCCUGGCUCGACACUGACGCUGAGGUGCGAAAGCGUGGGGAGCAAACA
rnacentral:rRNA from 1 species